rnacentral:rRNA from 1 species
GACAGAGGCCCCAAGCGUUAGGCGGAAUCACUGGGCUUAAAGCGUGUGUAGGCGGAUCGUUAAGUGUCUUGUGAAAUCCCACGGCUCACCCGUGGAACUGCUGGGCAUACUGGCGAUCUUGGGCCAACUAGGGGCAGCCGGAACAAGCGGUGGAGCGGUGAAAUGCGUAGAUAUCGCUUGGAACGCCGAAGGUGAAAACAGGCUGCUGGGGUUGCGCCGACGCAGUGAGACACGAAAGCCAGGGGAGCAAACGGG